UCUCCGUCGGUGAACCUGCGGAGGGAUCAUUACUGAGUGAGGGCUUCGGUCCGACCUCCAACCCUUUGUGAACCGAAACCUGUUGCUUCGGGGGCGACCCUGCCUUCGUGCGAGGCGCCCCCGGAGGCUCAUCAAACACUGCAUCUUUGCGUCGGAGUCUUAAUGAAUUUAAACAAAACAUUUAACAACGGAUCUCUUGGUGCUGGCAUCGAUGAAGAACGCAGC
rnacentral:misc_RNA from 1 species